rnacentral:rRNA from 1 species
AACGUAGGAGGCGAGCGUUAUCCGGAUUUACUGGGCGUAAAGCGUGUGCAGGCGGUUGAGUAAGUUGGAUGUGAAAGCUCCUGGCUUAACUGGGAGAGGUCGUUCAAUACUACUUGACUAGAGAGUGGGAGAGGGAGGUGGAAUUCCGGGUGUAGUGGUGAAAUGCGUAGAUAUCCGGAGGAACACCAGUGGCGAAAGCGGCCUCCUGGCCCAUGUCUGACGCUCAUACACGAAAGCUAGGGGAG